UCCCUGGUGGUCCAGUGGCUAAGACUCUGAGUUCCCAAUACAGAGGACCCAGGUUCAAUUCCCGGUCUGGGGA
rnacentral:tRNA from 1 species